CGGAGGAUCCAAGCGUUAUCCGGGAAUUACUGGGCGUAAAGGGUUGUGUAGGUGGUUAAGUAAGUAGUGUGUGAAAUGAUGAGGCUCAACCUCAUGUCCAUGCACUAAACUGCUUUGACUAGAGAAUGGAAGAGGUCGCUAGAAUUCCUGGUGUAGGGGUGAAAUCCGUAGAUAUCAGGAGGAAUACCGAUGGCGUAGGCAGGCGACUGGUCCACUUCUGACACUCAGACACGAAAGCGUGGGAGCGAUCGGGAUU
rnacentral:rRNA from 1 species